GGCCCCGGCGGCGGCGGCAGGUGUGGAUGGGGCGAAGGUGCGGGAACGUCCACUCCCGCGCGCCCCUCUCGGGGACCAGGGCGGCCUCCCAGGAGGAGCUUGGUAGAGACAGAUUCUCUGGAAGUACCUUCUCAAGGCCAGUGUAGAGCUCCCAAUCACCCAGCAGAUUCUCCCUCUCCCACUGCCCGCACCAAGCAGGUCUCCAGGUGUUCCAGCUGCUGAUGAAGUCCAGUGUGGAGUUGGUCCAGGAGGGUCGUGUUCCAGGCAGCAGAGGAGCGCUCUGUGUGGAAGAGGCUGAAGAUCUGCUGCAGCAUCUCAUGGAGGACAGACAGGGCCUGGGCCUGCUGCAACUGGCUGUCAUACACAUCUCCAGGGGAAACCUGAAGUCUCUUCUGUCCUUGAGACACAAGAAAGGGGAGAUCCAUUUCAUUUGGCCCAGAAGCACCAACGUCUUCCUUCCUGUCAGACCAUGGUUCUGAGUCAGGUCACAUCCCAGAGAUCAAAAAGAGCCACAGCUGCACACAACUAGGACCACCACUAGAGAGUGAAGGCAGGCCACUGGGAAAUGAGGGAGCUGCUGGCCUGGUGGAGCUGGGGUCUGAGUGUAAUUUGGAACCUAGAUGGAGUCUCAGUCACCAGGCUGGAGUGCAGUGGCACAAUCUCAGCUCACUGCAACCUUCACCUCCUGGGUUCAAGCAAUUCCCCUGCCUCAGCCUCUCGAGUAGCUGGGACUACAGGUGCUCACCACCAUGCCUGGCUAAUUUUUUUUAUUUUAGUAGAGUCGGGGUUUCACCAUGUUGGCCAGGCUGGUCUCGAUCUCCUGAUCUCAUGAUCCACCUGCCUCGGCCUCCCAAAGUGCUGAGAUUAUAGGUUUGAGCCACCAUGACUGGCCGAAUUUUUGUAACUUCUUUUCACAUAGUGGUUUACUGGGUAAGGUGUAUCUUGCUUCUCCUACAUGAUAUUCUUAUUUAUGAUGAAUUAAAACAAAUAAAGAAAAGUAAAAGAAAGGCAAAGGAACCAUAUUGUUCUUCUCCAUAAUUUUCAAGAUUUCAGAUUUUUUGUCUCUCAUUUCAACUUUCCUAGAAAGCAAACCUCAACAAUUGCUUAUAUAUUAAAAACAAAACAAAUAUAAGCCUGAAUAUCAGGAAGUAAGAGAAGUGACUUUCUGCUGACAAAAUAGCAAAACAUAUGUUAGCAAAAUUCAGUGCAGCAAAAUUAGAGACUAGGGACUCUGUCCCAGGGGAAGGAUGAAUGUCAUUGUUGAGGUACACAAAAGCAAGGGAAACGGCUGCUUCUGCCAGAGCCUCACAGAAGAGCAACUCCUGGGUCAAUGGAUUGUCCUCAGCUUUGCAAGACCAGCCACCUGCUCUUCUUUCAUUGAAUGCAGAUGUUAUCACCUCUGAGAAAUGUACUUUUGUCAGCUGCAGUCGUUCCAGACUGUGAUCAAGUCUGGAGAGUCGUUUAUUGAGGAGGAUCUUAUGCCAAACAGCCAGUGUGUCGUCCCUGGGGAAGAGGCUGAAGAUCUGCUGGAGCAGCUGACGGUGGAAACGGAUGUCUCCUGUCUUCUGGAUUUGGCCAUGGCUCCAAGACUUGUCCCUGCCAAGUGAGCAGGCAGCGCUGGAGAUGAGCAUGAUGACUCCCGCCAUUACCAGGGAGGUGUAGGCCACUGUGAUUUCAGAGAUUCACUAGCCGGCCUCGAAGGGGCGCGGGCCCG
ensembl:lncRNA MIR31HG MIR31 host gene